CGCGACUUAAUCUCAAACAGUACGUAAUAUAACAUCCAAUUUCCAUUUUAGACAGUUUGAGAAAUCAUCUUUCAUUUGAAGAAGAAAUAGCUCAUACCAUCAACGUUAGCAAAAUGAGUGCCCAUUUUGACGUCUUAAGACAUUGAAAACAAAGAAAUAUAGGUUUGAAUAGAAGAAUCCGACUACACUGAAAUAGCUUAAAGAAAUACACAUUAUAUCAAACCAUCCAGAACUCAACAACAAACAGUAGCAAAACAAAACAAAAGCACAGCUAUACACAUCACGCUGGAACGGAAAAGAUGAG
rnacentral:lncRNA from 1 species